CACGUAGGAAUCUGCCCUAGAGUGGGGAACAACUCCGCGAAAGCGGAGCUAAUACCGCAUAAUUUUCAUACUUCCGAGUAUGAAACAAAGCAGGGGACCUUUCGGGGCCUUGCGCUUUAGGAUGAGCCUGCGUCAGAUUAGCUUGUUGGUGGGGUAAAAGCCUACCAAGGCGAUGAUCUGUAGCUGGUCUGAGAGGACGAUCAGCCACAUUGGGACUGAGACACGGCCCAA
rnacentral:rRNA from 1 species